rnacentral:rRNA from 1 species
AGUGAACGCUGGCGGUAGGCCUAACACAUGCAAGUCGAACGGCAGCACAGUAAGAGCUUGCUCUUACGGGUGGCGAGUGGCGGACGGGUGCGGAAUACCUCGGAAUCUACUUUUUCGUGGGGGCUAACGUAGGGAAACAUACGCUAAUACCGCAUACGACCUACGGGUGAAAGCAGGGGAUCUUCGGAUCUUGCGCGAUUGUAUGAGCCGAUGUCGGAUUAGCUAGUUGGCGGGGUAAAGGCCCACCAAGGCGACGAUCCGUAGCUGGUCUGAGAGGAUGAUCAGUCACACUGGAACUGAGACACGGUCCAGACUCCUACGGGAGGCAGCAGUGGGGAAUAUUGGACAAUGGGCGCAAGCCUGAUCCAGCCAUACCGCGUGGGUGAAGAAGGCCUUCGGGUUGUAAAGCCCUUUUGGUGGGAAAGAAAAGCAGCAGGUUAAUACCCCGCUGUUCUGACGGUACCCAAAGAAUAAGCACCGGCUAACUUCGUG